GCAAAGAUGUCUACUGAGAAGGCCUCCUAACCUUUGAGUCAGGCUGCAGCUGCUCACCCUGUAACUACUGUGCUGAAGCAGGCAAGGUACAGGGAGACAGAUGAGGACCAAGCAGGGCCCCCAGAAGAAAGAACAUCACCAUGAACUCCAAACCAGCCAAUGCAAGCCAAACCAACUCACAGAUGGAGAAAUAACCAUGGCCUGGGACUCCCAGAUCCAGUACAAUAGCAUAGACUCGAAGCUCUCAGGACAAAAACUCUGACUUGACUGUAUCUUGUAACCCUGAUUGCUGGACCCAAAGACGUUAUUAGUAAAUAUGGAUUGACUGACAGAAGAAUCCAGACUGCACAAGGCAGAUGGGUGGGCAGAUGGCCACCUUCCAAAUUACCUGAACACCGUUAUGAGGCAUUGGUCAUGAGGUCCUCCAGCUACUAGGCAAAUACUGAUUUCGUGUGUCUGGGGGGAGGAGAACACACGCACGACUGGCCCCCAUAAGCACCCUCAUCAGUGCCCCAGGCAGGUGCUGCGGGGCAUGAGGAGACGCAGGGUGGAGGUGGGAAGGGGCCAGGCCUCCCUCGUGGGCAGAGGCGCAGGGAGUUGCUGGGGCCGGUGUGGGCUCAGCCAUCUGGGAUGGCGGGUGGGAGGGUACUGUGAAGAGGAAACAAGCCUGAAUGAAAAGAUGGGGCAGAAAGACAUUUUGUGAGGGGCCCCCAAUAACCUGUGGCAGAGAGAGGCUUCAGACUGCAUUCUACAAACUGAAAUGACAACUUCAAGAUGGCUCUUUUGUCUGUGCGACUCACUGCCUUCUGGGAACAACCACAAACUUCACUGGAGCUGCCAUCAUUCCAACAUGAUCCCAGCUCCCUAGAGCCAGCUCAAGAUAAGCCAGUGGGUGAUUUCCUGACAUCUUUUGGAAGAAGCGGUUCUGCCUAGAAGGGAAGAAUGCAGACACGGUGGCGAUGGGCACUUUGGGGGCAUUUCAGCUGUGAGACCCAGAUGCUACUGCCCUGCCUGCAGGUCAGCUGUUCAACUCUUCUCUCAAGAACACUGGACAUCCCAAGAGUGUCUCAAUAAACUGAAAGAGCUUCCUCCUUUCAAUUAAAAGAUAGAACAAGUUGGACUUGUGCAGCCUGCAACCAAGAGUGUCCUAAUGUCACCGAAUACAAC
rnacentral:lncRNA from 10 species